CGGUAUAAGAAUGUUCGUGUACCAUUUGUGUAUGGCUCUGGUAUCCAAUACACUUUAGAUAUAUGUUUGUGCAACAACAGCCCUUUCCUUGCCAGCUUCUGUGAGCAGGGCCUGCCUCUGGCUCGCAGCUUAACUUUGCUUUAUGUUAGCAAAGUCUUGACCAUUAUUUUAGCUCAGGCCUUAGGUCUCAUACCGGGCCUCUGAUACCAAGGGUUUAUGUUUCAGGGCCUCAUCUUACUACAGAUGGCUCUCAGUCAGGGCAUGUGAA